rnacentral:rRNA from 1 species
UACGGAGGGUGCAAGCGUUAUCCGGAUUCACUGGGUUUAAAGGGUGCGUAGGUGGGCAGGUAAGUCAGUGGUGAAAUCUCCGAGCUUAACUCGGAAACUGCCAUUGAUACUAUCUGUCUUGAAUAUCCUGGAGGUGAGCGGAAUAUGUCAUGUAGCGGUGAAAUGCUUAGAUAUGACACAGAACACCGAUUGCGAAGGCAGCUAGCUAGACCGACAUUGACGCUGAGGCACGAAAGCGUGGGGAUCAAACAGG